rnacentral:rRNA from 1 species
GAUGAACGCUGGCGGCGUGCUUAACACAUGCAAGUCGAACGGAAAGGCUCCUGCUUGCAGGGGUACUCGAGUGGCGAACGAGUGAGUAACACGUGGGUGAUCUGCCCUGCACUUCGGGAUAAGCCUGGGAAACUGGGUCUAAUACCGGAUAGGACCUCAUUUUGGAUGGUGUGGUGGAAAGUUUUUCGGUGUGGGAUGAGCUCGCGGCCUAUCAGCUUGUUGGUGGGGUAAUGGCCUACCAAGGCGUCGACGGGUAGCCGGCCUGAGAGGGUGUACGGCCACAUUGGGACUGAGAUACGGCCCAGACUCCUACGGGAGGCAGCAGUGGGGAAUAUUGCACAAUGGGCGCAAGCCUGAUGCAGCGACGCCGCGUGGGGGAUGACGGCCUUCGGGUUGUAAACUCCUUUCGCUAGGGACGAAGCGUUUUUGUGACGGUACCUGGAGAAGAAGCACCGGCUAACUACGUG